UACGCGGGAAAGAGGCGGACUGACUUCCCGUUUGAUCACUACUGCAUGUGCAACAAGUCAUAUACGCGGGAAUAUCUCCAAUUUCCCGGCAAAUGUCCGGGAGUUUGUCAGUCAGCUCUCUACAGUAGAGAGAGAGAGAAACAAGUUUUUAACUCGUGUUAUGAAAAUGUUGGCAGGAACACCUUGCUUUUUAAGACUGUCAAGGACCUUUUUCAGUUUAUUCAGUAUGGACCUUUAUUCAUUUUUUUAGGCUUUAUACGACGGUUUGCAGUGGAGUGAGAGGGAAAAACUUUAAAGAAUAGGCCUACCAUAAUUGAAUGCCUAUGGAGGGUUCUAAGAAGAGGCUGGACAUUCCUGUGCUGCGGUGGACAUGGUGACUCUGAGAUAAAGCUUUCAGUUGAAGAAACAGCGCCACCUCUUGGUUUGAGCACUGUACGACCAUGGCAUUACAGUGAAGAUGGAGGUGGAAGAACGGUUUAGAAUACUUGGAUCAAGAUGAAGAAACAACUUUAUACGUUUAGCACUUCAGAGAUGGAGGAUUGGCCGUGGCCCCCUUGCAAUCAUCGCUGUCCCAGACACUUAUGUCACAAAUUCGUGAGAGGAGCCGAUGUCAAGACGUGGGGCAGAGUUACUGGCGCUCUCGCCUCAUGUGUGCACAAGGAGUUUUGGACCUACGUUGUGUUUGGUUUGGUCCAUGCAAGGCAUCAAUAGAGCAUUAUCUUGUCUAUUUGAUGGUGCUACGGAGUUCUGCCAAGCUGUUGGGCCUAAGAUUUAAUUUGGCCAACAGUGAAAAAUGAGAUUUCUGUAGACAAAUGGAUCAAUCAUUCGUUCACACUUCAUUGUAUACGGGGGAAUAUCAGGGCU